UACGUAGGGUGCAAGCGUUGUCCGGAAUUAUUGGGCGUAAAGAGCUCGUAGGCGGCUUGUUGCGUCGGCUGUGAAAACCCGGGGCUCAACCCCGGGCCUGCAGUCGAUACGGGCAGGCUAGAGUCCGGCAGGGGAGACUGGAAUUCCUGGUGUAGCGGUGAAAUGCGCAGAUAUCAGGAGGAACACCGGUGGCGAAGGCGGGUCUCUGGGCCGGAACUGACGCUAAGGAGCGAAAGCGUGGGGAGCGAACAGG
rnacentral:rRNA from 1 species